rnacentral:rRNA from 1 species
UUAAAUUGAAGAGUUUGAUCAUGGCUCAGAUUGAACGCUGGCGGCAGGCCUAACACAUGCAAGUCGAACGGUAACAGGAAUCAGCUUGCUGAUUUGCUGACGAGUGGCGGACGGGUGAGUAAUGUCUGGG